GGGUGGAAGGUUGGAUCUUCGCA
rnacentral:miRNA from 15 species